rnacentral:rRNA from 1 species
ACUCGUUAAGGCUGAGCUGUGAUGGGGAGAAGACAUUGUGUCUUCGAGUCGUUGAUUUCACACUGCCGAGAAAAGCCUCUAGAUAGAAAAUAGGUGCCCGUACCGCAAACCGACACAGGUAGUCAAGAUGAGAAUUCUAAGGUGAGCGAGCGAACUCUCGUUAAGGAACUCGGCAAAAUGACCCCGUAACUUCGGGAGAAGGGGUGCUCUUUAGGGUUAACGCCCAGAAGAGCCGCAGUGAAUAGGCCCAAGCGACUGUUUAUCAAAAACACAGGUCUCUGCUAAACCGUAAGGUGAUGUAUAGGGGCUGACGCCUGCCCGGUGCUGGAAGGUUAAGAGGAGUGGUUAGCUUCUGCGAAGCUACGAAUCGAAGCCCCAGUAAACGGCGGCCGUAACUAUAACGGUCCUAAGGUAGCGAAAUUCCUUGUCGGGUAAGUUCCGACCCGCACGAAAGGCGUAACGAUUUGGGCACUGUCUCAACGAGAGACUCGGUGAAAUCAUAGUACCUGUGAAGAUGCAGGUUACCCGCGACAGGACGGAAAGACCCCGUGGAGCUUUACUGUAGCCUGAUAUUGAAAUUCGGCACAGCUUGUACAGGAUAGGUAGGAGCCUUUGAAACGUGAGCGCUAGCUUACGUGGAGGCGCUGGUGGG